GGCCAGGCUUAUUACGGUCCCAUAUUACAGCCAUAGAGGUGGUCUUGACUCUUGAGUCACGGAGGAGCACGAGAGGAGAGGCGGCUGAUUAGGAACUAGGGUUAGAAAAUCCCCAAUUCCUCCACCUUUCCCAUCCAUCCUGCCGCAACCUUGGCGGCCAGCUCUAGGCGCCGACAUCUUCAGGUGGAGUAUGGCCUCCCCGCGGAGGAGGAGGCUCGCCACGGUCUGCUCCGUAGGAGGAGAGUCCGAGGAAGGCCAGCGACCACGUGGCCGCGCCGAAGCCGUUGUGGCAAUUAUGUUACUAAUUUAGGUACAGCUAGAAGUAUUGUUCUUUUUUCCACUUAAAUUGGUUUGAUGAAGGUAAAUUUAGUGCAAACGUUUAUGUCCUGGUAGACGUCAGAUGCAAAUUCAUCAGUUAAGGCAUUUACUUUAGAUUAUCAACACAUAUUUUUUCUGAAGAACUAUUCUUGAUGAGCAGUAAACUUAGAUCAGAGUUAUGGUGUGGAAUUAGUCGCAAUGAAAAAAAUUAUUUUGCUGUACGUAAGUAUUUUCUAUGUGUAAUGCAAGAGAAUAUACAUAGUACCACUUGAUCUGAUUUGGACAAAGAUUUAUCACUUUCAUGAGAAUUCCUUAUUUUUCUUUAAUUAUUUCACUACUGAAAGUUGUACAAUUUUUCCUGCAAUGUCUCUGGUCUUAUUCUUUCUUUUCUCCUUCAUAGACAAGAUAUGAUGGAGUGCAGCCAUCCUCUGACUACACAUUGAUAUAACUAAAUAAAACUGGCAGGCCUGGUCUGAUUUCAGAAGUGAGCAUGGUGCUCACAAAUCUGUAUUGUGAUGUGGUGAAUACAGAGGUAAUCAUUACAAACGAGCAGCAGUAAUGUACGCCAGUGAUACUUAAACUGUGUUGGCGCUCUUGGAUGUACAGAAUGACUAUGCAGGAUCAAGGAGCGGCGGCGCAAUGUCUUCAAGGGAAGCAACAUGAGCCAUGAUACCUAGAUGACACUUGCGAUAGGGAUAACCAACAUAGAGCCUACGCUGUACCAGAUGAUGCUUGAGGAUUGGGAUUACGAAAGGUACGAUAAGUAUAUAGAGAGAAUGUGAACGCAAGAUAAAUGUUCUCGGUCGUCAAUUGGCUCGGCAAGGUUAUUUUGUGCGGACAGUUUGGUGGAAGGUUCGACCAAAGCUUCUCUUCGAUACAGUUUGCACUUUUACAGAUAUGCAAUAUGUCGUUUUCCAUGGUAGUGCCGACACCGAGGGCCUCGAAGCCUACCAUGAGUAUUACAUUCAGCAUAUUUAUGGGUCACCCGUUGAUUCUGAGGCCGAGAGACAGCGAGAUAUCCAGUGUCUUGGUGCAUAUAUUGUGAGGAGAGUAUUCAAGGUAAUUGGCCAAUAACUACACAUUUCUGAUUUUAAUUUCUUAUGGCCCCAUUGUCUCUGUUGUCUAUUGUUUUCUUAGCCUUGAGGCGGAUAGAAACUUCAGCGCUGUGAUGCAUCACCAUAGGAGGUAGAUUGUAGCUGUAGAACUAGCAUUUUGUAUUGUUGUCUGCCACACUUUACUGAUGAGCUACUGUUGAUGUCUUGACUCUUGAGUCCCUUUGUUCUUCAUGAAGUAACCGACUCAUAGUUGUGUACUUCAAAAUAACUAAUACCUGAAUAUGAUGUGUGGUUUUGCAUGGUUUGGGACAAACUUGUGUCAUCUGUUCAACAAUAAAAACCUAGAGAAAAUCUUACCCUUUGUGCUAAUUACCGGAAUCAUGCACUUUGAUUGAGUCAUUGACAUAUAGUUUCCUUUUCUUAUUGCAGAAGAAACAAUUUGAAUGUAUCUAAAGUCAGCGCCGUGUCUAAUAUUUUUUUUAUAGUUGGCUGAAUGCCACUUUACUUGUGCAUAGACUUGUGGCCAUAAAAUUGUGGUAAUUAAGCUAUGAUUAUUAGGACUAGAUUGAAAAUAUAGUUACCGGGACUAAUUUAUGAUAAUGUAGGACUAGAAGUUCCAUCUUAUUUCCCGCAUUGUCAUUUGAGUUCAUGUAACUUGAGUUCCUUUUCUGCUAAAGUACCUACUGGUGUUAGCGUUA